GCUCUCUGAGUGCCUGACGGUCUCCGGAAUGAUGUCACGGAAAGCCCUGGAUGACGUGAACCGGUUGCUAUGAAGUUGCACCCGUAGGAAUAUGAGCCUUGUGGAGCUGCCAACAGGCAGGAGUUGGCAGGAAACUCCCACAUCUACAGAGCUACUGAGACAUUAACCUGUGGCUGCCGCAAUGAUGUUUCUGGCUCAAAGACAUAAGCUUCAUGGAAUCACACACACGUUCUUAAAAAUUCACUGACUUCCAUCAGACUAUUAUCCUGCUCUGCUGUGCUUUGGCCAGGCCUCAUUCGGAGUACCGUGUCCAGUUCUGGGUACCCCUGUUUUAAGAAAAGACGUUGCCAAACCGGAGCAAAUUCAGAGGAAAGCGUCCGAGACGGCAAACGGAUUGGAAAUGAAGAAUGCUAAAUAGCUCCAGAUACGUGGCUGUGGGCAUCUCUCCUCUCGGCUUUUGCGCUUAGAGUUUGCAGGACACUGGUGGGGAUCUCGUGGACUUUGGUGGUGGAAUCCUUCCUUGGGGUCGGUUACGGGGAAGGCUGCCUCGACGACCGAGGAAGAGGGGACACCCCCCCGGAAGAAACUAAGUGAGAAGGAGAUCCAGCUGGAAUUGGGCGGCAAAGAGCGGGUGAGUCCCUCAACUUGUCACCUCACGAAAAACUCUGAGGAGGGCAAUAAAGG
rnacentral:lncRNA from 1 species